rnacentral:sRNA from 2 species
CAGUGCGUCUUUGGGGAGUAGCCCGCCCGGCGCGCAACGCACCGGGGCAUGCGUCAACACACUUGGGUCCACACGUGGCCUAUGGCGCAUGCGGCUUUCAGGUUGGGCGAGACCAUUGACUGCAUGCCGAUCCACAUGGCCGGAGUCGGAGUGCAGUCAAUGCGUUUUCAAUUCGUCCGGCCGUACAAGGACCU